AGUGAACGCUGGCGGUAGGCCUAACACGUGCAAGUCGAACGGCAGCACAGUAAGAGCUUGCUCUUACGGGUGGCGAGUGGCGGGCGGGUGAGGAAUACAUCGGAAUCUACUUUUUCGUGGGGGAUAACGUAGGGAAACUUACGCUAAUACCGCAUACGACCUACGGGUGAAAGCAGGGGAUCUUCGGCCCUUGCGCGAUUGAAUGAGCCGAUGUCGGAUUAGCUAGUUGGCGGGGUAAAGGCCCACCAAGGCGACGAUCCGUAGCUGGUCUGAGAGGAUGAUCAGCCACACUGGAACUGAGACACGGUCCAGACUCCUACGGGAGGCAGCAGUGGGGAAUAUUGGACAAUGGGCGCAAGCCUGAUCCAGCCAUACCGCGUGGGUGAAGAAGGCCUUCGGGUUGUAAAGCCCUUUUGUUGGGAAAGAAAAGCAGCAGGUUAAUACCCCGCUGUUCUGACGGUACCCAAAGAAUAAGCACCGGCUAACUUCGUG
rnacentral:rRNA from 1 species